GCGGGCAUGGUGAAAUUAGCAGACACGCGUGACUCGGGAUCAUGUGCCCUUCGGGACGUGAGGGGUCAAGUCCCUCUGCCCGCA
rnacentral:tRNA from 1 species